AAAUGUUCUCCUGUUCAAUGUACGCAGAAGAGACCAGAGCUGAGCUGCUAUCAUCGUAACAGUAAAACUACAGCGAGAUCUGAAUUCUUUGUUCAUGUUUCAUUGCCUGCUUUGAGGAAAGCAGUGAUCAUGAGAUCAGACAUCAGCCUUAGGGCCCAUGGAUGGCAUGACGCUGUUGCUGAGCAGUGCUGGUGAUGAGCUAAAGAUGUUUUGACAAGAUGCAGUGCCAGGGCUCGCUGGCGCUCGGUGGCACCGCGCAGGGAUUGGGAGGAUAACGCUGCAAAGCUGGCCCAAAGCGUGUGCCCUACGCUAACGCACAACGCCGUGCCCAGGGAGGGUACGGAGAGGAGCACUGACAACUGGAGCCCCAUCAGAUGCCCGCGGGGAGCAGAAGGACAGAGGGAGUUCUGGAGAUCAGGGAAAAGCUCUCUGCAGAAGGGGCUGUAGCACCUUGCCUGGAGUGUGAAGCCAGCUCCAGUUUGUCUUAAAUGACCUUUUGCUGACUUCCAUCUUGCAAGGUGGCUUUGAUGGGUGAGAUGGCACAGGGGCAAAUCCUGUGAGCCUGCGAGUUCCCUUGAAGCACAAGCUACUCUGAAGAAUCUGCUCUUUAAGGAGAACUCGAAGAGUCAGGGAAGGAGUGGCUCUUUAUCCCACCUAAGGGCGUUUUCCACGAUUCCCGCUGGGACCACUCACUGUAUGUUCUUUAGGUAGCAGCUCUUUUGAUUUUCUGGCUGCCUUGCAAGUCACACUGAGGUGCCUGGAGAAGGAUUUGGUGAUUGCUUAUGAAAUCCGUUCUCCCUUGAGGAUCUGCUCUUUCCACUUUGAUAAACUUUUAAUUCUUGCUUUCUAAUAACACUGAGGGACUGUUUUGUGGGCCUGCCUUUAUGAAGGACUUGUGAUUGAUGUUCAUCUGUGCUUGCAGGAGACCAGUACCCUCAUUUUAUUUUUGACAGAACAUCAGGACAAGCACUCUGUAUCCUUCUCCCUUCUUGGUUACCUCUAAAUGAAAGAGAAAGCAAAGCGGCUAUCAUCUGUCCAGGCCUGUCAGUUUGGCUCACUUGUACUCUCCCACCAUAUCACUAAACUUCUGACACUGUUUCUGUCCAGCAUGGCACACAGGCACGUGUUUAAAGGACACGGGCAGCUUAUUUUUGCUAUUGCUCUGUUACCUUGUUUUUAUUCUCGGUUCUGUAUGCUCGUGCCUGGGAUGUUUGGAAGUAACUGCUGUAACUUCAUGUGGGAGUAGGUUGCUUAGAUAUUACCUCCCAGUCAGUGUAAAUUUAGAGCACAUAAGGCUUGGACCCCAAAGGCCUUUUUUAACCCAUUGCUGUCUUUUUCCAAUUCCAUUCCCUCUGCCCUCUCUGAUCCAUUUCUAGCAGUUUUGAGAUAAACAUGACUCCUGUUUUAUGCUUAGACUGACCUCACCUGUAACAGCACGGCAGUUUGUACAUGGCCAAUGGAGAGAUCUUGCACUUAUGCAGAUGCAUA